rnacentral:rRNA from 1 species
UACGUAGGGUGCAAGCGUUAUCCGGAAUUAUUGGGCGUAAAGAGCUCGUAGGCGGUUUGUCGCGUCUGCUGUGAAAACUGGGGGCUCAACCCCCAGCCUGCAGUGGGUACGGGCAGACUAGAGUGCGGUAGGGGAGAUUGGAAUUCCUGGUGUAGCGGUGGAAUGCGCAGAUAUCAGGAGGAACACCGAUGGCGAAGGCAGAUCUCUGGGCCGUAACUGACGCUGAGGAGCGAAAGCAUAGGGAGCGAACAGG